GUUGAGCACCCAAUUGGCUACAAGAAGCUAAGAGGAGAGGCAAGAAACCUGAAAGAAAGGCAGAUAAAUCCUAUGUUUCCUUUGGAGGCAUCUUCCCUGUCUAUUUCUGCUGCCUGAGAUAAAGCUGGGUCCCAGCCCCACUCUCCUGUUUGUCUUCCCUCAGACAAGGAAUAGGAAGUGGCUUUUUGAAUCUACAUUUGGACCUUGUCCAGCUCUUCAUUGCAACGCGACAAAGGCAGCAUUGGCGGUCGAUGGGACAGGCCAUACAGAUCAUCUUCGCCUUAAUACACCUUGGCCUCGGGGGCAUCUUGUUCUUCUCCUCAAAAGAAUCUGUCCCCCUGUGCUUGGCUUCCUGGUACCCGUUCUGGGGAGCAGCACUUUUCAUCAUUUCUGGGUCCCUCUCAGCUGCAGCUGCAAUUGCAACAAAUAUCACAGAGGCUCUGGAGGCAGGCAGCAAUAUGUUGAAUGCCAUCAGCUUCCUUGCCUCAUUAGCUGGAGGAAUAAUGUUGGGAAUUGAUUUGAUUAAUAUUUGCAUUCUAAACAAGUAUAAAGUUUCCAUCCCAAUUUUGGAUAAAAUCCACUUAGUCAGCUUCCUUCUCCCUCAUCGCUGUGAAGAAAGUCCCAUCCCUUGGGACUACUGUCAGAGCAUCGGUUCUUACAAGACGGGGAUGUUGGCCUUGAUGCUGAUCUUCUCUGUAAUCCAGAACAUUGUUUCUAAAGCUGCUGUCUCCUCCGAGGAUAAGUCACAGGAUCAUAAGGCAGAGCAAGUGUUUCCCUUGCUGUCAUCCCCACAACCACAGUUCAGCAAUGGAACCAGUCCUCCAUGGCAGUAGUCUAUCAGCAGCAUCCAACAAACUCCAAGCAGCUUUCAUGGGUAAAGAGCGUAUAUGCGUGGCGCCUGAAUCUCUCCCUCCUGUUGCAGAUAAGAUGCCCUUCUCUCUCUUACUGAGUCUGGUCCAGAGAUCACAUGUGUUUUCACAGUAUUCAGAAGGGAAGAUGGGCAAUAAUGACUCACUAGCUUUAUCCAUCCUCUUGGAAAACACCUCCUAAAUGACUCUUAUGCCAGCUUCUUCAAUAAUGGGUUGUAAAGGUCUCCCUUCUUGGUGAGUGGACACAGUGCAUCAUGGAAGAUAUAGUCCAGCUGGGGAGCCUGGCCCAUGGAGGAGAAUGGGGAUAUAAGGAAACUGAACUACAACUCCCAGGAAGUACCACAGUGGUAGAUUUUAAUCAAAAUAUUUCAGUUUUGGGUUUUAAAAAAUUUUUUAUCAAAAAUUGAAAUUUGCUUUUCUAGAAAAUGCUUUUCAUGAACAAUUUAGUUUAAUCAAAAACCCAAUUUUCCAUC